GUUUAAAAGAAUUUAAAUGUUUUACCAAAUGCUUUCUCUGCAAGGGAUAUACGUAGGAUGGGCUUCUCUAUUCCCACUGAUGCAGCAGAAAUUGAGCUUCCUGUUCCUGCAAACUUAGGCUCUGCUGGAUUUGAGUUGCUGGUUCCCAGAGUAAAAUUCUUAUAAGAGGUACAAUAAAUGUUCUUUUAAACUGGAAUUUGAGAUGAACACCUGGUCCUACGAGCUUCUAAUGCCAGUAGACCACCAGGAAAAGAAGGGGUUACUGUACUGGCUGAGAUGAAUGAUCCUGCACAAUACAUGAUGGAGACAGGGAGGACGAUGACUGGGAUACAGGAGAGCCUCCGAGGGGCCUCAGUACUUCUAUGUCUGUGACAAAAUUAGUGGAAAAUUGCAUAUACUGCUAGUGACUCCAGACUUUUAAGAGUGACAGUUUGCAUUGCCCCUGUAAGCCACAACCUGUGGCUAGCUGAAGUGUUUACUAAAAGCAAAGAGGUACGGGAUAAAUAGUGCUAGAGGGAAGACAGAAAUGCUGGCAAUGACCACAUGUUCAGUUACAAAAGCAGGGACUGUAGUAGCUAUGAGUACUUCACUGCACCUUUGAAAUGAAUGUAUGUAUUUUCUUUCUAUUUCAGUUUUUUUUCUUUGGUCUUCUCCCACCUUCCAUUUCUCUGUUAUAACCUUAGAUGUGUUAAGAGUGGUUAACCUUAUAGUCUGUAUUUAGAUUACAGGAUAUCAAAGGGGUGGUGUGAUUCAUCUCAAAGAAGAAUGGACAUCACCCGUGACUGAGGUGACAUGGAACUCUGUGUCCUCUGGGAAGAGGGUCUUGCAAGAAGUACAGCCUGACUCCCACAGUCUGACUUCCUGCCCUGUGCUGUAAGGAUUCAAGCAUGUCUGCCACCUGCACGAUCAUCAUAACCAACACCUGUGUAGGAGCUUACCUUUGACAAACCACUUCUUACUUUCUCUUCUUUGAUCAUCAAAAAUAUUCAGGUGAGCAUGGUGGUAGUACUCCAAUUUAAUUUAAUUACAGAGGCUCGGAAGAAUAAAAUAAAUUGCCUGGGGUCCCCGAGCUAGUAAAUAAUCAACUAUGAGGUGAGAUUGGGUUCUCUGAACAUAAAUUCAGUAGUUGUUUUUAACCCUCCCUACAUACCAGAUGUCCCUGAAAUUGUCACUUGCUUUCACCUGGACUUCUUUCUGCUGCUCGCUGUUCAGACCUCCUCUAGGGUAUUUUACUCUCCAGGUCAAACUAAGCCUUGCUCAUUUCACCUGUCCUGUUCAAAACUCAUGAAAAAAAAAAAAA